GACGAACGCUGGCGGCGUGCCUAAUACAUGCAAGUCGAACGAGAGCGACCGGUGCUUGCACUGGUCAAUCUAGUGGCGAACGGGUGAGUAACACGUGGGUAACCUGCUCAUCAGAGGGGGAUAACAUCCGGAAACGGAUGCUAAAACCGCAUAGGUCUUCGAGCCGCAUGGCUUGAAGAGGAAAAGAGGCGCAAGCUUCUGCUGAUGGAUGGACCCGCGGUGCAUUAGCUAGUUGGUGAGGUAACGGCUCACCAAGGCCGUGAUGCAUAGCCGACCUGAGAGGGUGAUCGGCCACAUUGGGACUGAGACACGGCCCAAACUCCUACGGGAGGCAGCAGUAGGGAAUCUUCCGCAAUGGACGCAAGUCUGACGGAGCAACGCCGCGUGAGUGAAGAAGGUUUUCGGAUCGUAAAACUCUGUUGUUAGGGAAGAACAAGUGCUAGAGUAACUGUUAGCGCCUUGACGGUAUCUAACCAGAAAGCCACGGCUAACUACGUG
rnacentral:rRNA from 1 species